rnacentral:rRNA from 1 species
GGUAGCAAUACCAUGGCGAACGGGUGAGUAACACGUAGGUAACCUGUCUUUAAGUACCGAGGAUAACCAUUGGAAACGAUGGAUAAUACUGGAUAGGAUAUUUUAAGGCAUCUUUUAGUAUUUAAAGAUUUAUCACUUAGAGAGGGGCCUGCGGCGCAUUAGCUAGUUGGUGAGGUGAAGGCUUACCAAGGCGAUGAUGCGUAGCCGGACUGAGAGGUUGAACGGCCACAAUGGAACUGAGAACGGUCCAUACUCCUACGGGAGGCAGCAGUAGGGAAUUUUCGGCAAUGGGCGGAAGCCUGACCGAAGCAACGCCGCGUGAACGAAGAAGUAUUUCGGUAUGUAAAGUUCUUUUAUUAGGGACGAAAAGACAGAUUGACGGUACCUAAUGAAUAAGCUCCGGCUAACUACGUGCCAGCAGCAGC